GCAAGUACUCGGUGAGUUAAGUUUAAAACGAAGGGGCUUAAUUUAGCGGGCCUAAACCUACGGCCUGUGGGCCUGCAGUGCCAUACUGUCGACAAUUUCAUAUACUGUAUGUGUAUUCAUUUUAGCUUUUCUCACACACAGCUUUUCCCCAACGACGGCUUCCUGCCAGACCUGAGGCUGCAGUUUAAGGAACCAGUACCAACUUCUCCAGUUAGCUUUUCCCCAACGACGGCUUCCUGCCAGACCUGAGGCUGCAGUUUAAGGAACCAGUACCAACUUCUCCAGUUAGCUUUUCCCCAACGACGGCUUCCUGCCAGACCUGAGGCUGCAGUUUAAGGAACCAGUACCAACUUCUCCAGUUAGCUUUUCCCCAACGACGGCUUCCUGCCAGACCUGAGGCUGCAGUUUAAGGAACCAGUACCAACUUCUCCAGUUAGCUUUUCCCCAACGACGGCUUCCUGCCAGACCUGAGGCUGCAGUUUAAGGAACCAGUACCAACUUCUCCAGUUAGCUUUUCCCCAACGACGGCUUCCUGCCAGACCUGAGGCUGCAGUUUAAGGAACCAGUACCAACUUCUCCAGUUAGGGGAGAGCGCGAACGCAGUCCCCCACUACCAGAAAUUAUGCAGUCGAGAUUCCCACAUUUGGGGAAUUCGCAGGGGUCAGCACAACCGGAGUGCAAUGGCCGAGCCUCGCCCUGGGUGAACCACCUUCUUG